UUGACCUACGGGGGGCAGCAGUGGGGGAUAUUGCACAAUGAGGGGAACCCCGAUGCAGCGACGCCGCGUGAGUGAAGAAGUAUUUCGGUAUGUAAAGCUCUAUCAGCAGGGAAGAAGAAAGACGGUACCUGACUAAGAAGCCCCGGCUAACUACGUGCCAGCAGCCGCGGUGAUACGUAGGGGGCAAGCGUUAUCCGGAUUUACUGGGUGUAAAGGGAGCGUAGACGGCUGUGCAAGUCUGAAGUGAAAGCCCAGGGCUCAACCCUGGGACUGCUUUGGAAACUGUGGAGCUAGAGUGCUGGCGG
rnacentral:rRNA from 1 species